GACGAACGCUGGUGGCGUGCUUACACAUGCAAGUCGAACGGAAAGGCCCUGCUUUUGUGGGGUGCUCGAGUGGCGAACGGGUGAGUAACACGUGAGUAACCUGCCCUUGACUUUGGGAUAACUUCAGGAAACUGGGGCUAAUACCGGAUAGGAGCUCCUGCUGCAUGGUGGGGGUUGGAAAGUUUCGGCGGUUGGGGAUGGACUCGCGGCUUAUCAGCUUGUUGGUGGGGUAGUGGCUUACCAAGGCUUUGACGGGUAGCCGGCCUGAGAGGGUGACCGGCCACAUUGGGACUGAGAUACGGCCCAGACUCCUACGGGAGGCAGCAGUGGGGAAUAUUGCACAAUGGGCGGAAGCCUGAUGCAGCAACGCCGCGUGCGGGAUGACGGCCUUCGGGUUGUAAACCGCUUUCGCCUGUGACGAAGCGUGAGUGACGGUAAUGGGUAAAGAAGCACCGGCUAACUACGUGCCAGCAGCCGCGGUGAUACGUAGGGUGCGAGCGUUGUCCGGAUUUAUUGGGCGUAAAGGGCUCGUAGGUGGUUGAUCGCGUCGGAAGUGUAAUCUUGGGGCUUAACCCUGAGCGUGCUUUCGAUACGGGUUGACUUGAGGAAGGUAGGGGAGAAUGGAAUUCCUGGUGGAGCGGUGGAAUGCGCAGAUAUCAGGAGGAACACCAGUGGCGAAGGCGGUUCUCUGGGCCUUUCCUGACGCUGAGGAGCGAAAGCGUGGGGAGCGAACAGGCUUAGAUACCCUGGUAGUCCACGCUGUAAACGGUGGGUACUAGGUGUGGGGUCCAUUCCACGGGUUCCGUGCCGUAGCUAACGCUUUAAGUACCCCGCCUGGGGAGUACGGCCGCAAGGCUAAAACUCAAAGGAAUUGACGGGGCCCCGCACAAGCGGCGGAGCAUGCGGAUUAAUUCGAUGCAACGCGUAGAACCUUACCUGGGUUUGACAUGGAUCGGGAGUGCUCAGAGAUGGGUGUGCCUCUUUUGGGGUCGGUUCACAGGUGGUGCAUGCCUGUCGUCAGCUCGUGUCGUGAGAUGUUGGGUUAAGUCCCGCAACGAGCGCAACCCUUGUUCACUGUUGCCAGCACGUUAUGGUGGGGACUCAGUGGAGACCGCCGGGGUCAACUCGGAGGAAGGUGGGGAUGACGUCAAGUCAUCAUGCCCCUUAUGUCCAGGGCUUCACGCAUGCUACAAUGGCUGGUACAGAGAGUGGCGAGCCUGUGAGGGUGAGCGAAUCUCGGAAAGCCGGUCUCAGUUCGGAUUGGGGUCUGCAACUCGACCUCAUGAAGUCGGAGUCGCUAGUAAUCGCAGAUCAGCAACGCUGCGGUGAAUACGUUCCCGGGGCU
rnacentral:rRNA from 1 species